GGCAGCAUUCUGCUUGGGAGCUGCCUCCUUGGGACCAUUGGGAGUGAGUUCUGCCCUUUGGAAUGGGGUCUGUCAGCAGAAGGAGCAGCAACUGCACCUGGAGAUUGCUUCCUUUAGAGCGUGGGGUGAACCCUUGAAACUGGGACUGUGACCUUUCCUGUUUUUGGGGCAUCCUGACCACAUUGAAGUGCUGGCAGAUGUAAGGGCAGCAUUGAUCUCUGGAGACUGUCUCCUGUGGAGUAGGGGGCUGUUAUGCACUGCUUCCAACCAUGCAGAGUUGUUUAAGGGCGUUCUGUGCACCCUUAGGUGUAAUAAAUCUUCGUCUUUAUAGAAAGCCAAGGAUUGUCCUCUUCUGGACUGCUGUACUCAGUAUCACCCCAGUGUGAUGAAGUGAAGCCCCUGCUCUGCUGAAUACUGGGACUGGCCCAGAGAGGCUCUGAUGGAUGUGGAUUAUCCUAGCCAGAGUACUUGGUACCAUUGGUGGUGAUCUCGUCCAACUGCCACACAAUGAACAGGAACAUCCACAGCCAGAUCUGGCUGCCCAGAGGCUGACCCAGCCUCACCUUGGAAGGGAUGGGGCAUCCAUCACAUGUCUGGGGACUUCACCUGACUGCCUCGACUUCUCAAAUACCACUGAGAGUGGCUCGGUGACUGCAGCGGUGAAUUCCCUCAGGGCUCUGGGACUCGUCUCAUCAGGACCCAAAGACUCCUGGAUGUCAGGUUCUCAGGUGGCUGCGGAGUUGCAGCGCUCCCAAGUGCCGUAACGACUGCAUGGAGAUGCGUGGCUCUUCAUGGGAACAGCAAGAAACCGGAAUCUGCAUUUCCUGGAAUGCCCCAGAGCCUCGCUUUGCUGGCUGGUAAUUGUCUGCCCAGCAGGUGGCAGCAGAGCUGCGUUGCUCCUGAGCACUUUAAGGACAGCACAGAGAUGCGCGGCUCUUCACGGCAGCAGCAGAAACUGAAAUCUGCAUUUCCUGGAACGCCCCGGAACCUUGCUUUGCUGGCCGGUAAUUGUCUGCCCAGCAGGUGAAGAUGCCUUUGAUGCUUCCAGUUGAUGGCUUCCCCCCUGCAAUGCCAUCAUCUUUCCAGUCCUCCCACACUCACCGCCAGCUCGGUUCAGUCCAGCUUUUACCUGAAUCCCUGCUCUGUUCCCUUUCCUGAGCGCUGUAAGGACAGCAUGGAGAUGCGCGGCUCUUCAUGGCAGCAGCAGGAACCGGAAUCUGCAUUUCCUGGAACGCCCCGGAACCCCACUUUGCUGCCUGGUAAUUGUCUGCCCAGCAGGUGAAGAUGCCUUCGAUGCUUCCAGUCGAUGACUUCCCCCCUGCGAUGCCAUUGGCUUUCCUGGCCUCCCACAGUCACCGCCAGCUGAGUUCAGUUGAGCCGUUACCCGAAUCCCCACUCCGUUCCCUUUCCAUGAUCUUCCUGUCACUCUGCCACAAGCCCCCACCAAGGUCAUCGCAGGCAACGUAUGGGAUGCAGCACUCGGUCUCAUUAUAGUUCAUCCCAUCAGCUUCAGCCCAGCGAUCCAACCCACCCGCAACCUUCCUGAGGGCCCUUCUGCUCCCAGGCCAAUCAACGCUUCCUUCUGAUGCCAUCUGCGUUCCUUCCUGGCCACUUUCAGACUCGUGCCCCUUUGUGGCCAUUUUGAGAGUUGCGCUGAUUUCAGCGUCUGCAUUCAAUUGACUUCAACCGAAUUGGCUUUAGCUUUACAUUCACUUAAUGUAAACCGAAUUGGCUUUAGCUUUACAUUCACUUAAUGUAAACCGAAUUGGCUUUAGCUUUACAUUCACUUAAUGUAAACCAAAUUGGCUUUAAGUUUGCCUUGCUUACGGGGUUGGGUUAGCUUUGCUUUGUUUGUUCUAGCGCAGGGCUAACCCAACCCCGUAACCAAGGGCCGGCGGAGGCGAUUUUGUUCCUUCCCGGCCAGUCUGAGACUCGCGCCCCCUUGUGGCCAUUUGAAGAGUUGCGCUGAUUUCAGCGUCUGCAUUCAAUUGAUCUCAACCAAAUUGGCUUUCGCUUUGCAUUCAACUUAUUUCAACCAAAUUGGCUUUAGUUUUACAUUCACUUGACUUCAAUCAAAUUGGCUUUAGCUUUACACUCAAUUAUUGUAAACCAAAUUGACUUUAGUUUUACAUCCAAAUUAUGUAAACCAAAUUGGCUUUAAGUUUGCCUUGCUUACGGGGUUGGGUUAGCUUUGCUUUGUUUGUUCUAGCGCAGGGCUAACCCAACCCCGUAACCAAGGGCUGGCGGAGGCGAUUUUGUUCCUUCCCGGCCAGUCUGAGACUUGCGCCCCCUUGUGGCCAUUUGAUGAUCUGUGCUGAUUUCAGCGUCUGCAUUCAAUUAAUCUCAACCAACUUGGCUUUAGCCUUGCAGUCAUUUUGCAUCAGUCAAAUUGGCUUUGGCUUUGCAUUCAAUUGACUUCAAUCAAAUUGGCUUUAGUUUUACAUCCAAUUAAUGUAAACCAAAUUGGCUUUAAGUUUGCCUUGCUUACGGGGUUGGGUUAGCUUUGCUUUGUUUGUUCUAGCGCAGGGCUAACCCAACCCCGUAACCAAGGGCCGGCGGAGGCGAUUUUGUUCCUUCCCGGCCAGUCUGAGACUUGCGCCCCUUUGUGGCCGUUCUGAGAAUUGCAAUGGCUUUGGAUGGGCUGAGAUCUGCACUGCUUUUGAGGUGGGUUGCAGUACACAA